rnacentral:rRNA from 1 species
CGCAUCUGUGCAUGCAGCAUAUCAAUAAGCGGAGGAAAAGAAACUAACAAGGAUUCCCUCAGUAACGGCGAGUGAAGCGGGAAGAGCUCAAAUUUGAAAUCUUGAAAGGUCACCUUUCACGAAUUGUAGUUUAAAGAAGUGUUUUCUGUUACGAUCGUAAUAUAAGUUCUUUGGAAUAGGACAUCACAGAGGGUGAGAAUCCCGUCUAUGAUUGCGAUUUGUAGCUUUGUGAUACACUUUCAAAGAGUCGGGUUGUUUGGGAAUGCAGCCCAAAACGGGAGGCUAAAUUUCUUCUAAGGCUAAAUAUUGGCGAGAGACCUGAUAGCGAACAAGUACCGUGAGGGAAAGAUGAAAAGAACUUUGAAAAGAGAGUUAAAUAGUACGUGAAAUUGUCAAAAGGGAAGCGUUUAACACCAGUGUUGUUUUCUGAAAAUCAACCUCUGUUAGCUUUAUGCAUGUUUGUUUAGACCUAAUCAGCUAUCUUGCAUGUUCUAUUGUUUGCAGUGGUGCACUUUUCAGUUUACAGGUCAACAUCAGUUUUUUUUACCGUAAAAAAGUUAAAGAAAGGUAGCUCAUGGCUCCGGUCGUGAGUGUUAUAGUCUUUUUCCUAUGCGGUAGGAGAGACUGAGGUCUGCAGUGUAGGCUAUUUGGCUAGAUACUCAGGUGCUAUGUGAUACCAUUUCAUAAACAACUUGUUGAUUAUGUUUUGUCUAUUGCAUACUCGCUUGUACUAUCAUACCUACGCUUAGGAUGUUGACGAUCAGCUGAGCGC